rfam:Pichia kudriavzevii strain SD108 scaffold00057, whole genome shotgun sequence.
GGGAAAAUAGUUUAAAUGGUAAAACGUUUGACUUUUAAUCAAUUUAUAUUCGGUUCAAGUCCGGUUUUUCCUA